rnacentral:rRNA from 1 species
AGAACGAACGCUGGCGGCGUGGAUAAGACAUGCAAGUCGAACGCGAUUUAUCAGGUUAGCAAUAACUUGGUAAAUUGAGUGGCGAAAGGGUGCGUAACACGUGGGAAUUUACCAAGAAGUGGGGAAUAGCUCGACGAAAGUCGAAUUAAUACCGCAUACGAUCGCAAGAUCAAAGCCGGGGACCGCAAGGCCUGGCGCUUUUUGAGAAGCCCGCGGCCCAUCAGCUAGUUGGCGGGGUAACGGCCCACCAAGGCUAUGACGGGUAGCUGGUCUGAGAGGACGACCAGCCACACUGGAACUGAGACACGGUCCAGACACCUACGGGUGGCAGCAGUCGAGAAUUUUUUCACAAUGGACGAAAGUCUGAUGGAGCGACGCCGCGUGGAGGAUGAAGGUUUCGGAUUGUAAACUCCUGUCACUGCAGACAAGGGUGCGUUAUGAAUAGUAGAUGCAUUGAUGGUAUGCGGAGAGGAAGGGACGGCUAACGUCUGCG